AUGAACGCUGGCGGCGUGCCUAAUACAUGCAAGUCGAGCGAACGGACGAGAAGCUUGCUUCUCUGAUGUUAGCGGCGGACGGGUGAGUAACACGUGGAUAACCUACCUAUAAGACUGGGAUAACUUCGGGAAACCGGAGCUAAUACCGGAUGAUAUUUUGAACCGCAUGGUUCAAAAGUGAAAGACGGUCUUGCUGUCACUUAUAGAUGGAUCCGCGCUGCAUUAGCUAGUUGGUAAGGUAACGGAUUACCAAGGCAACGAUGCAUAGCCGACCUGAGAGGGUGAUCGGCCACACUGGAACUGAGACACGGUCCAGACUCCUACGGGAGGCAGCAGUAGGGAAUCUUCCGCAAUGGGCGAAAGCCUGACGGAGCAACGCCGCGUGAGUGAUGAAGGUCUUCGGAUCGUAAAACUCUGUUAUUAGGGAAGAACAUAUGUGUAAGUAACUGUGCACACCUUGACGGUACCUAAUCAGAAAGCCACGGCUAACUACGUG
rnacentral:rRNA from 1 species